UACGUAGGGGGCAAGCGUUGUCCGGAUUCAUUGGGCGUAAAGAGCGUGUAGGCGGCCAGGUAGGUCGGUUGUGAAAACUGGAGGCUCAACCUUCAGAGGUCGACCGAAACCAUCUGACUAGAGUCCGGAAGAGGAGAGUGGAAUUCCUGGUGUAGCGGUGAAAUGCGCAGAUAUCAGGAAGAACACCCGUGGCUAAGGCGGCUCUCUAGUACGUGACUGACGCUGAGACGCGAAAGCGUGGGGAGCGAACAGG
rnacentral:rRNA from 1 species